GCUGAUAUAUGGAUGGAACUGGCUAAGUGAAAUAAGCCAGACCCAGAAAGUCAAAGGAUAUGUUGGUGUUGCAAUAGCCAGAUUAAAGCCACAGAGUCUCCAGCAGAAGAGGAAAAUGCUGGCAAAUGAGGAGAGGUAGAAUGGAAAGCCAGAAGGAUCCUAAAUCUCUGACAGCCUUGUGAGAAAUUGAAGCAAUACCAGCAAUCAUCUAUCUCUUGGCUUCAUGCUUUAUAAGAUGGGAAAAAACUAUUAAAUAUUUACACUACUGUCA